rnacentral:misc_RNA from 1 species
AACGCACAUUGCGCCCCCUGGUAUUCCGGGGGGCAUGCCUGUCCGAGCGUCAUUGCUGCCCUCAAGCACGGCUUGUGUGUUGGGCCCUCGUCCCCCGGGACGGGCCCGAAAGGCAGCGGCGGCACCGCGUCCGGUCCUCGAGCGUAUGGGGCUUCGUCACCCGCUCUUGCAGGCCCGGCCGGCGCCAGCCGACCCCCCUCAAUCUUUCUCAGGUUGACCUCGGAUCAGGUAGGGAUACCCGCUGAACUUAA